rfam:Oryza barthii chromosome 3, whole genome shotgun sequence.
UUUAAGUGCAAUUAUAAGUUUCCGCACUCAACUUUAAUCGUUCGUCUUAUUUAAAAUUAUUUUAUAAUUAAUAUUUUUAUUGUUAUAAGAUGAUAAAAUAUGAAUAGUACUUUACUCGUGACUUACGUUUUUAAAUUUUUUUUCAAAUAAGAUGAACGGUUAAAGUUGGGCCAAAAAAACCAUGGCUGCACUUAAA